CGAGUCUCCGGACUUCUAAACCAUUGUGAACCUUACCUUUGUCCAAGUUGCUUCGGCGGCCGGCACCUCGUCAGGGGCGCCGCCGUGGCCCGCCCGUUGGGUGGCCGCCGGGCGACGACCCAAACAAACCAUUGCGUAUCAGUUAGUUACCUCUGAGUCUAUUACCAUAAAACGUAAUUAAAACUUUCAACAAUGGAUCUCUUGGCUCUGGCAUCGAUGAAGAACGCAGCGAAAUGCGAUAAGUAAUGCGAAUUGCAGAAUUCAGUGAAUCAUCGAAUCUUUGAACGCACAUUGCGCCCGCCAGCACUCUGGCGGGCAUGCCUGUCCGAGCGUCAUUUCAACCCUCGGGGCCCGCGCCUUUACCGGCCGGGCACCGGUGUUGGGGCCCUGCGAAGCACCGCCUACGCAGCCCCCUAAAGAAAUCGGCGGACCCGCAGAGGCACCCGAGCGCAGUAGAACCUCUCCUCGCUGUGGGCUGUCCCGGUGGGCUUCCGGCCGCUAAAGCCCUAGGAGGGUGCAAGCCCCCCUAGACCUCGAAAUUUUGACCUCGGAUCAGGUAGGAAUACCCGCUGAACUUAAGCAUAUCAAUAAGCGGAGGAAAAGAAACCAACAGGGAUUGCCCCAGUAACGGCGAGUGAAGCGGCAACAGCUCAAAUUUGAAAUCUGGCAGCAAUGCCCGAGUUGUAAUUUGUAGAGGAUGCUUUCGGUGAGGCGCCUUCUGAGUUCCCUGGAACGGGACGCCACAGAGGGUGAGAGCCCCGUAUAGUCGGACGCCGAACCAGUGUAUAGCUCCCUCGACGAGUCGAGUAGUUUGGGAAUGCUGCUCUAAGCGGGAGGUAAAAUCCUUCUAAAGCUAAAUACCGGCCAGAGACCGAUAGCGCACAAGUAGAGUGAUCGAAAGAUGAAAAGCACUUUGAAAAGAGGGUUAAAAAGCACGUGAAAUUGUUGAAAGGGAAGCGCCUGUGACCAGACUUGCGCCCGGCGGAUCAUCCGGCGUUCUUCGCCGGUGCACUCCGCCGGGCUCAGGCCAGCAUCGGCUCUCCCGGGGGGAUAAAGGCGGCGGGAACGUAGCUCUCUUCGGGGAGUGUGAUAGCCCGCCGCGGAAUGCCUCCAGGGGGGCC
rnacentral:rRNA from 1 species